rnacentral:rRNA from 1 species
AACGAACGCUGGCGGCAGGCCUAACACAUGCAAGUCGAGCGCCCAGCAAUGGGAGCGGCAGACGGGUGAGUAACGCGUGGGAACCUUCCCGAUAGUACGGAAUAGCCCAGGGAAACUUGGAGUAAUACCGUAUACGCCCGCAAGGGGAAAGAUUUAUCGCUAUCGGAUGGGCCCGCGUAGGAUUAGCUAGUUGGUGGGGUAAUGGCUCACCAAGGCGACGAUCCUUAGCUGGUUUGAGAGAAUGACCAGCCACACUGGGACUGAGACACGGCCCAGACUCCUACGGGAGGCAGCAGUGGGGAAUCUUGGACAAUGGGCGCAAGCCUGAUCCAGCCAUGCCGCGUGAGUGACGAAGGUCUUCGGAUUGUAAAGCUCUUUUGCCAGGGACGAUAAUGACGGUACCUGGAGAAUAAGCCCCGGCUAACUUCGUGCCAGCCGCCGCAGUAAGAC